AUGACGGGCAGCGCCGCCGCUGCCAUUUUGUCGCCGGGCGCGGGGCCGGGAGGAGGCUCGGGACGGCCGCGCCGGGGAAUGGGGCUGAAGGUGCCACUCGGGGAUGUUGUUCCGUGUUGUUCCAGAUGUGUUUAUUGUGGCUGCCUGCACGUGCUUUUUGGGGAGAAUCGAGCGUGUGCUUGGAACUCUGCUGCUCUAAAAUUACCUGUUAAAAUCAAACUCGGCCCAAUCCAGCCGCUGGAACUGGGCUUUAGGAUUGAUCCCGGUGCCAGAGUCGUUUAUUUAUGGAUUUUAGUCAGUCUUUGGGCACGAGCAGGAUAGUUCUGGGAAUUUUUUCCUCAGUCUUUCACUGUCAGUAUUUCUGCUUUUUUUCUGUGGGGGUCAUUAUUUCCCACCUUUCACAUGUAAAGUAAAUAAAUCUUGGUGAAAAUACCCCCGAAAAUACUUAUUUUGGAGUUUGUACCCAAUAUGUGCUUCGGUUCUGUGAUGUAUCUUUUAUUUAAUAUAUCCUGUAAUUAAAAAGGAUCAGACCUUUUUGUAAAUCAGAGGUAAAUAAUAGGAUGUUGAUGGGGUGUUGUGUUUCUUUCUGAGCCUGUAUUUAAUAUUUAAUGGCUUGAUCUGCCUGAAACAACUUUUAUAUGGAAUUCUGUGUGUUCCUGUGCAGCUGAGCUUGUUACGUGGGGCUGUUAAGUCAUAUAAUCCCAUAAAGUUCCAUCUUGACUAAUAAAACCUACUAUAAAUGUCCUGAAGUGGAUGAUAUGGGAGA